rnacentral:rRNA from 1 species
AGGACGAACGCUGGCGGCGUGCUUAACACAUGCAAGUCGAGCGGUAAGGCCUUUCGGGGUACACGAGCGGCGAACGGGUGAGUAACACGUGGGUGAUCUGCCCUGCACUUCGGGAUAAGCCUGGGAAACUGGGUCUAAUACCGGAUAUGACCUCCUAUCGCAUGGUGGGUGGUGGAAAGAUUUAUCGGUGCAGGAUGGGCCCGCGGCCUAUCAGCUUGUUGGUGGGGUAAUGGCCUACCAAGGCGACGACGGGUAGCCGACCUGAGAGGGUGACCGGCCACACUGGGACUGAGACACGGCCCAGACUCCUACGGGAGGCAGCAGUGGGGAAUAUUGCACAAUGGGCGAAAGCCUGAUGCAGCGACGCCGCGUGAGGAUGACGGCCUUCGGGUUGUAAACCUCUUUCAGCAGGACGAAGCGCAAGUGACGGUACCUGCAGAAGAAGCACCGGCUAACUACGUGCCGAGCAGCCGC